rnacentral:rRNA from 1 species
UGGGGAAUAUUGGACAAUGGGGGGAACCCUGAUCCAGCGACGCCGCGUGAGUGAAGAAGUAUCUCGGUAUGUAAAGCUCUAUCAGCAGGGAAGAAAGAAAUGACGGUACCUGACUAAGAAGCCCCGGCUAACUACGUGCCAGCAGCCGCGGUAAUACGUAGGGGGCAAGCGUUAUCCGGAUUUACUGGGUGUAAAGGGAGCGUAGACGGCUGAGCAAGUCUGAAGUGAAAGGCGGGGGCCCAACCCCCGGACUGCUUUGGAAACUGUAUAGCUAGAGUGCAGGAGAGGUAAGUGGAAUUCCUA